UUCUUCUAUAUUUUCUCAAUGCCAGAAGGAGGUUAGAAAAUUUUGGUAAAAUCUCUGCUGCCACACCUACACUUUGCCCGUUGAAAAUCAGCUGCCUCGAACGGCUCUUUUGAAUCAAAAUACCCGUGAUCCUUCUCUGUCAUGGGAUUUUGAAUUUCAAAAUCAGGAACAUGAACCCUACUUCUUCACCUAUAAAUACUUGCAUUUGGAAUAUAUUGGGGCAGAGCUUUUAGGAGCCGUUAUACCUCUCUUUAAACCCACAAGCUUGAACCCCUCCUUUAACCUUUAUGCUCUAGGCCGUCCAUCUAUCCCCUCUAAGUCUAAGCUUCAGCCACCAUUUUACUCCAAAUAUUAAUGGUUGGCCGCCCCCCCCCCCUUCUAUCUCCCUUCGGUGGCUAACUAUUCAAAGCUUAUCUUCUUCCUUACUCUCUUAAAAUUCAGCUUUAAGUUUUCUCUGCUUUUUUACCUCUAUUUAGUCUAUAGCAUUGUCAAAGCUUUUAUUAUUUUUUUGGUGUACGCAUUUGACUCUCUUCUGAAAGAGCUAAGCCAAAGCCGGAGAUCCUCUUGACGACGCCCCAUUCACUACCCAUAAAAAGGUCAGUAACUUCGAAAUCUUUCUUCUCGGCUUUCCUGUAUUUGAAGAUCUGAAAUGUUUGUUUGUUUGUUUUAAAAAUCUUGUCUCCAGUUUAUUUUCCAUUGUAAAUUCAUUCAUAUAUGAAAUCAUGCAAUACUAUUUUUUUAAUUAUCUCUUAAUUAAGUAAAAUAAAGUGUCGAUGGUCAUAUGAAUAUAUUAGUGCAUUAGUUGCCCUCUUCAUGGUUGUCUUCUAGUAAGUAUGAGUUAUAUUUACGUUAAUAAUUCAUCCUAUAUGAUCUGGAUAGUGUUUGCUUCCGUAGAGUAUUUCUUUUGUGAAAUAAGUGUUUAUAUUACCAUUUGGGAAUUUAUGGAUAUUAGCUUAAUCUUACUGUAUAAAUUGGUUAAUUAGAAGCUAUGUCCAUAGAAUUUAGAAGUUCUCAUAAUGAUAUAGACUUUAGCUAACGGAAACGCAUGUUAUUGUGAAAUGUUGGUAUACGAUUAUAGAUCCUUUUAUAAUUAUUGACGUCGUUGCUUAACUUAAGAAUUAAAGGGGUUUAUACUUGAAAUUUAAUAUAAUUUUUGAGUCACAUAGUUGCCCAUGCAUUUUAGUAUUAUCUAUUAUAUAUGGGUAAUAUUAGUUUCAUGAUAGCAUGAAUGACGGUAGUAAUAUGAGAUGAUAAGUUAUGAGUGUGCUAAUAACUUAUUUAGAUAAUUUGAACAUCAAUAUUACUUGAAGUGAUUCUACUUAUUAUUAACCUCUGCUCUUUAGCAUUAAAGAAAAAAAUAGAUUUUUUCCUCUUCCUAAUUCUUGGCUUGUUUAUUUCUUUUGCAUAUGUAUUUGGACCAAAAUAUGGAGUCUUAAUGCCAGACUCUCCCAUUCUCGAGCAUGGAGUCAUCACAUGGCAUCUUCCUUAGAGUGCACCCGAUAGCAAGAAAACAAGCGAAAUGCUUGGGGGCGCCUAUGACGUCUUUCUUAUCUUCUCUUUAUUUUACGAUUGUUUUAUUUAAUUUCUUGAUGUCUCCUGGUUUAUUUGGUAUUUGUGUUUAUCUCACGCUUAACAUGGGUUUGAAGAUUUAGUUUAUUUAAUUAUCUCUUCUUUAGCUAGCAAACAGGGU
rnacentral:lncRNA from 1 species